AUGGCCUGGACCCCUCUCCUCCUGGGCCUCCUGGCUCAUUGCACAGGCUCUGUGGUCUCCUAUGAGCUGACUCAGCCACCCUCAAUGUCGGUGUCUCUGGGACAGACGGCCAGGAUGACGUGUCAGGGAAACAACAUUGAAGAGGAAGUUGCUAACUGGUACCAGCAGAAGCCAGGCCAGGCCCCUCUGCUGGUCAUGUAUGAUAGCACCCGACCCUCAGGGAUCCCUGACCGGUUCUCAGGCUCCAACUCAGGGAACACGGCCACCCUGACCAUCAGCGUAACCCAGGCCGAGGACGAAGCUCACUAUUACUGUGGGGUGUGGGACAGCAGCAGUGAUCGUCCACAGUGA